rnacentral:lncRNA from 12 species
AAGAAGAGUUAACAAAAAUAUCUUCAGUCAACUGUUGAGUAACCAAAUAGCUGGUGGUUACCCAUAGGCCUAGGGAGCUCCUAAGACAAUUGUUGGGUUUUUCUUAUUUUAAGAUUUUAUUUAUUUGAGAGAGAGAGAGAGAGCACGUGUGCUCAAGCGGGGGGGGGGGUGCAAAAAAGUAGAGGAGAAGCAGGCUCCCAACUGAGCAGGGAGCCCUAGGGGGUCUUGAUCUCAGAACUCUGGGAUCAUGAGUGAGCCCAAGGCAGAUGCUUAACCCAUCGUGCCAUGCAGAUGCCACUGUCUAGUGCAUUUCUAGAUGCACUAGAUGCAUCUAGAGAAAUGCAUUUCUCUCUCUCUCUCCUUAGAUUAGAACUUGCUGGGAGGAUACAGGACCAAUUAAUACCCCUCAUCUCGAGUGGCAGCGUCACCUGUUAGGUUCCUUUUCCUCUCAUAAUCUACACGCGUCUCCAUUAUGGGAGCAUUAUUUUGCCAGACCAACAUGUUCCUCUUUCAACAGUUAGGAAGAAAUCGAUAAAUAAACUGGCCAGGCAGGAGAAACCUGCCAGUCGCUGUGAUUACUUCGGACCCAGGACAUCCCUAUCCACCUAGGCGGUGUGCAGUAGUCAUGCAAGAGCGCCGACUCCCUAGCAGGUCCUCAGCAAAGAGCGGGAGGGAGGCGAUGGGGAGGAAGGAGUGCCUGCAUUUUUUCGGAUCCCAACACUCACCUGGGGAGGAAGCAAUUAAAGUUUUGAUAACUUCAUGCAUAUGAAUGAUGCAAACUUGUAACAACGUUUGGAAGUGUAUUUGUUUAAACUUCUUUUCCCUCUAAAUAGUUUGGGACCGUUGAACGGUAAAUUUUGUUUCAGCACAUUCAUCAUUUUGCCGGGACGGACCCUACAAGAAGGACAAAUUGAUUUUCCAGAGCAAAUGCAAAAACGGCUUUCGGCUCUUACCUUCCCACGCCCACCUCUCUCCGCCCCUUCCAAGCGCCCGGGAACCUUCCUAAGGCUGCCCCUCCCCUCCCUCGGGCGGGGCCAACGCCGAGGAACCCGGAUUCUCAUCCCUCCCUCCCCCCACCCCGGACCUCCAUCCCCCGCCCGCUCCGGGGAGUGGGAGCCGCCGACGCUGGGGGAGGGGCUGUGGCCUGCCCCGGGGACUAGGGUGCUGCUUUACAGCAGAGGUGGCCCGGGGCCCAGUCAGACCGUGCAACCCCGCGCGAGCGUCCCAACUCCCGUGCUCUGUCCCUCCGGCGCGCGGCCUCCGCCAGCCCACAGUUUUAGAAGAAAGCCGAAGAAUGUGGUCUACGGAGCAUGCUGCGCUUGCCAGGGGUGUGGACGCAGAGUUCAAGCACAGACAAAGGGCAGGCAGUGAUUUCAUACUUCUGAUAGGUAAGUUAGCUCAGUUGUACUCGGAUUCUGUGCUACCCUCUUCUGUCCAUAGGCUCCUUUUUCAAAGUAGGCCUCUCCCUGAGCUUCCUCUGUAUAUAUCUGGUUAGCACUGUGGCCGUGUAUGCUCGGUCUCCCUAAUGGUUCAUCAUGAUGAUCAUGAGAGCUCCGCCUCGGGGAUUGGAAAUAGUAUGAUCCCUUCUGGUAAUUUCAAACUCAAAGCCCAGAAAAGGCCAUGAUUUGACUAGAGUUGAUUUCAUGCGUCUGAUAGGUGUGCAAUGUAAGUUGCACCUUGUGUUUUAUCCCGUGAUAUUUACAUGCAUGACUUUCUGCAAUGUUUUAAUCCAGUUUAUACUGGUGCCGUGGAGGUUUUCUAGAAAUCACGUGUACAUUAGACUUCCAGUAAUAGUAUAGCUAGAUUUUCAGUGCUCAAGACUGAGCAAAGAAAGGCAGUAUUAUUUCAGUAACUUGAGACCUUUUAAAGCCGUCAGAGUAGCCUGCUCGUUUGAUUAACCUGAGAACUAGGAAAGAUUUGAGGUGAUCCUGUUGGUCUCCCUAGACUGCUGAGGAACAGAACUUGUUACUGUAUGUUGGAUCUAAAGGAUAAUGCUGAAACUUCCCUUGUGAAAUGUAGUCUGCUAGAGGGCCUUCUACUUAGCCGUUUUGUUUAUACAUAAUCAGAAUCUCUGUUGGGGAGGAUCAAGCAUGAAGUUGCUUGUCAUUUCUUUCUAAGACGAAAACUACACUUGUCAAAUGCCAGUUCUACGUUAUUCUUUUGGUCUGUGGCACAGGGCAGGCUUAGAAUAAUAGUGAAAGACGAAUAGCUUAUUUUGAUGAUGUAUUCUUUUGUGAUUUAAAAAAAAUAAGAUUUUAUUAAUUCGGGGCACCUGGGUGGCUCAGUGAUUGAGCCCCUGCCUUUGGCUCAGGUCCCACAUCAGGCCUGCCUCUCCCUCUGCCUCUCUCUUUUAUUUAUUUAUUUGAGAGAAAGGGAAAGCAUGAGUAGGGGGAGAAGAAUAGGGAGAAAUAGACUCCCCACCGAGUGAGGAACCUGAUCCAGGGGGAUCAAGAUUAUUCAUUUUUCUGUGUUGAGUUGUAUAAGUUCUUUAUAUAUUUUGGAUAUAAAGCCUUUAUUGGCUAUUUUAUUUAUAAAUGUCUUCUCUCACUCAGUAGGUUGCUUUUUUGUUUUGUUGAUGGGUUCUUUUACUGCGCAAUAGCUUUUUAUUUUGAUGUAGCAGUGCUAAUCAUGAGAGAAAUGCAAAUCAAAACUGCAAUGAGAUAUGGCCUCAUGCCUAUCAGAAUGACUAAAGAGACAACAAAUAACAAGUGUUGGCAAGGGUGUAGAGAAAAGGGACCCCUUGUACUGUUGGUUGGAUCAUAAAUUGAUAGCAAAAACUAUGGAAAACAGUAUAGAGGUUCCUCAAAAACUUAAAAAAUAGAAAUACCAUAUGAUCCAAUCACUCCACUACUGAGUAUUUACCCCCAAAAAUGGAAACCCUAAUUCAAAAAAGAUAUAUGGGGAUCCCUGGGUGGCUCAGUGGUUUAGUGCCUCCUUCGGCCCAGGGCCUGAUCCUGGAGACCCGGGAUCGAGUCCCACAUCGGGCUCCCUGCAUGGAGCCUGCUUCUCCCUCUGCCUGUGUCUCUGCUUCUCUCUCUCUCUCUCUCUCUGUGUGUGUGUGUGUGUCUCUCAUGAAUAAAUAAAUAAAAUCUUAAAAAAAAAAAAGAUAC